rnacentral:rRNA from 1 species
CCCUUAGAUGUUCUGGGCCGCACACGCGCUACACUGAAGGAGGCAGCGUGUACUCCUGGAUCGAAAGAUUUGGGUAACCCGCGAAUCUCCUUCGUGCUAGGGAUUGAGGUUUGCAAUUAUCCUUCAUGAACGAGGAAUUCCCAGUAAGUGCAAGUCAUAAGCUUGCGCUGACUACGUCCCUGCCCUUUGUACACACCGCCCGUCGCUCCUACCGAUUGAAUGGUCCGGUGAAGCGUUUGGACUAUGGUUUUCUGACGGUUCGCCAUUGGAUUACCGUGGGAAAUUCGUUAAACCUUAUCAUUUAGAGGAAGGAGAAGUCGUAACA